UGAGGAAUAUUGGUCAAUGGGCGAGAGCCUGAACCAGCCAAGUCGCGUGAAGGAAGACAGUCCUAAGGAUUGUAAACUUCUUUUAUACGGGAAUAACGGGCGAUACGAGUAUUGCAUUGAAUGUACCGUAAGAAUAAGCAUCGGCUAACUCCGUGCCAGCAGCCGCGGUAACACGGAGGAUGCGAGCGUUAUCCGGAUUUAUUGGGUUUAAAGGGUGCGUAGGUUGUUCGGUAAGUCAGCGGUGAAACCUGAGCGCUCAACGUUCAGCCUGCCGUUGAAACUGCCGGGCUUGAGUUCAGUGGCGGCAGGCGGAAUUCGUGGUGUAGCGGUGAAAUGCAUAGAUAUCACGAGGAACUCCGAUUGCGAAGGCAGCUUGCCAUACUGCGACUGACACUGAAGCACGAAGGCGUGGGUAUCAAACAGG
rnacentral:rRNA from 1 species